rnacentral:rRNA from 1 species
UAAAGACUCUCGGCAACGGAUAUCUCGGCUCUUGCAUCGAUGAAGAACGUAGCGAAAUGCGAUACUUGGUGUGAAUUGCAGAAUCCCGUGAACCAUCGAGUCGUUGAACGCAAGUUGCGCCCGACGCCAUCAGGUCGAGGGCACGCCUGCCUGGGUGUCGCAC